rnacentral:rRNA from 1 species
CGCCCUUACGGGAGGACAGCAGCAAGGUAUUUUCCCCAAUGGGCGGAAGCCCCCCCCGUGAGUCAACGUCGCGUGGUGGACGACGGUCUUCGGGUUGUAAACUCCUUUCGGUUUGGUACGACCACGACGGUACCACCAUAAGCAGUCCCUUCUAACUCUGUGCCAGCAGCCGCGGUAAGACAGAGUUGGCAAGCUUUGUCCGGAGUUACUUGGCGCUAAAGGGCGCGGAGGCGGCCCCGCGGCGCUCGGCGCCGAAAAGGCCCGCUCCACGGGGUGAGGCGUGCUGACAUGUGUAGUUUCUGAGGUUAAUAGAAUUUUCGUUGGAUCCCCUUUUCGCAGUUCCGAAAUACCGCAGCAGAUCUGGAGUAACGCUAAUCUGUUAAGCUCUCUUAGUUCCGGUUCUUGAUUCCAUGUUCGUGUAUUGAUAUUUCUGGAGAGUAAAAUAGGAUUCAGCAUGCAUUUCCCCUGCAUACAAGUGCCUAAUCUCCUGUGUCAAAAAAUAUGCCCGCCCGUGAA